UCAGGAUGAACGCUAGCUACAGGCUUAACACAUGCAAGUCGAGGGGCAGCAUUGGGAUAGCUGCUAUCCAGAUGGCGACCGGCGCACGGGUGAGUAACGCGUAUCCAACCUUCCCCAUAGUAGGGCACAGCCCGGCGAAAGUCGGAUUAAUUCCCUAUGCAGUCCAGAGAGGACAUCUGACCUGGACGAAAGAUUCAUCGCUAUGGGAUGGGGAUGCGUCUGAUUAGGUUGCAGGCGGGUAACGGCCCACCUGGCCGACGAUCAGUAGGGGUCUGAGAGGAAGGUCCCCCACAUUGGAACUGAGACACGGUCCAAACUCCUACGGGAGGCAGCAGUGAGGAAUAUUGGUCAAUGGACGGAAGUCUGAACCAGCCAAGUAGCGUGCAAGGAUGACGGCCCUAUGGGUUGUAAACUGCUUUUAUCAGGGGAUAAAGUGAGGUAUGUAUACCUUUUUGCAUGUACCUGAUGAAUAAGGACCGGCUAAUUCCGUGCCAGCCGCGGC
rnacentral:rRNA from 1 species